rnacentral:rRNA from 1 species
AGAGUUUGAUCAUGGCUCAGAUUGAACGCUGGCGGCAGGCCUAACACAUGCAAGUCGAACGGUAACAGGAAGAAGCUUGCUUCUUUGCUGACGAGUGGCGGACGGGUGAGUAAUGUCUGGGAAACUGCCUGAUGGAGGGGGAUAACUACUGGAAACGGUAGCUAAUACCGCAUAACGUCGCAAGACCAAAGAGGGGGACCUUCGGGCCUCUUGCCAUCGGAUGUGCCCAGAUGGGAUUAGCUAGUAGGUGGGGUAACGGCUCACCUAGGCGACGAUCCCUAGCUGGUCUGAGAGGAUGACCAGCCACACUGGAACUGAGACACGGUCCAGACUCCUACGGGAGGCAGCAGUGGGGAAUAUUGCACAAUGGGCGCAAGCCUGAUGCAGCCAUGCCGCGUGUAUGAAGAAGGCCUUCGGGUUGUAAAGUACUUUCAGCGGGGAGGAAGAGAGUAAAGUUAAUACCUUUGCUCAUUGACGUUACCCGCAGAAGAAGCACCGGCUAACUCCGUGCCAGCAGCCGCGUAAUACGGAGGGUGCAAGCGUUAAUCGGAAUUACUGGGCGUAAAGCGCACGCAGGCGGUUUGUUAAGUCAGAUGUGAAAUCCCCGGGCUCAACCUGGGAACUGCAUCUGAUACUGGCAAGCUUGAGUCUCGUAGAGGGGGGUAGAAUUCCAGGUGUAGCGGUGAAAUGCGUAGAGAUCUGGAGGAAUACCGGUGGCGAAGGCGGCCCCCUGGACGAAGACUGACGCUCAGGUGCGAAAGCGUGGGGAGCAAACAGGAUUAGAUACCCUGGUAGUCCACGCCGUAAACGAUGUCGACUUGGAGGUUGUGCCCUUGAGGCGUGGCUUCCGGAGCUAACGCGUUAAGUCGACCGCCUGGGGAGUACGGCCGCAAGGUUAAAACUCAAAUGAAUUGACGGGGGCCCGCACAAGCGGUGGAGCAUGUGGUUUAAUUCGAUGCAACGCGAAGAACCUUACCUGGUCUUGACAUCCACGGAAGUUUUCAGAGAUGAGAAUGUGCCUUCGGGAACCGUGAGACAGGUGCUGCAUGGCUGUCGUCAGCUCGUGUUGUGAAAUGUUGGGUUAAGUCCCGCAACGAGCGCAACCCUUAUCCUUUGUUGCCAGCGGUCCGGCCGGGAACUCAAAGGAGACUGCCAGUGAUAAACUGGAGGAAGGUGGGGAUGACGUCAAGUCAUCAUGGCCCUUACGACCAGGGCUACACACGUGCUACAAUGGCGCAUACAAAGAGAAGCGACCUCGCGAGAGCAAGCGGACCUCAUAAAGUGCGUCGUAGUCCGGAUUGGAGUCUGCAACUCGACUCCAUGAAGUCGGAAUCGCUAGUAAUCGUGGAUCAGAAUGCCACGGUGAAUACGUUCCCGGGCCUUGUACACACCGCCCGUCACACCAUGGGAGUGGGUUGCAAAAGAAGUAGGUAGCUUAACCUUCGGGAGGGCGCUUACCACUUUGUGAUUCAUGACUGGGGUGAAGUCGUAACAAGGUA